rnacentral:misc_RNA from 1 species
AAGGAUGUUUAGGUGUGAAGCCUAAACUAUUUUAUAGUUCAUUUUGCCUAAUUCGGUCCUGCAAACAUUCCCCAAACCCAUGUUUCUUGUACUAAUUUUGCUUUCCAAAUCUGUACCCCUCUAAGCCUGAACUUUCCAACUACAUUCCUGCCCACUUUAGGCUUCAACAAAAUCUCAAAUUCCAGCCUUAAAUCUUAAGACCUGCAUGCUGUCCUGCAACAAGUAUCUGUUUUGCUUUGCCCUUUAGGUAGAUAACGUGAUAAUCACGAGAAUUUGUAUGUUCUCUAGUUCUCUACCUCUGUAGCGCCUCUUUGUUUUAUUGUGGGUUAACAAACUAGAUAUCCAUUUGUUUUUUCUUUUUUUAAAUGCACAAACUAACAAGGUAAAGGUUAAUAGAUGGUUCAUAACUAAAGGUUAAUAGAUGGCCCAUAACUAAACUAAUACUAAAGAAAGAAGAAUAUUUAUCAUGAUAUUAUACCCAAGCUCCUGUUCAACAUUGCCAAAAGUAUUAUCCAGCCCUAACUUACCUGUGCCUAUGGAAGACAGACCGGACUUUGUAUAUAAUACUUAAAUAUUACAAAGUUAUAGCAUGAUUCUCAUCAAUCAACUGAUGCAAGUUCCCACACUCAUUGGUGAUCCCCCUCAAAUUACCAAACUUGGAUUUAUCUUUCCUCUUCCUGAGACUUCUAUAUAUGGUGGUUGACCUUUAACCGCUCAAUUAAUAGACAGUCUUUUAGUCUCUCCAGUCUUAAGGGUCUCCACUUACACAUUUGGUCAUUGCAUCGUAAGCAGCAUUUAGUCUCGGAAAUUUGGCCUUUGUACUUUUUCAUCCAUCUGGGAUGGCAGGGCUACCAUCUUGGAUUUCAAUUCUUGUGAGAUAAUGGACCACAGUGUGUGUGUGUGUGUGUGUGUG